UCAAAAUACCUUAUCAAACGCAUAUAACGGUGUCAAUGUUGUUAAACUUACGGGGUGUAACAUCUUUCCCCCCUUUAGAAUAUUCGUCCUCGAAUUUUAAUUCUUGAAGAUCUGCAAAAUUUUCACUAGAGUCUCCUCUGUAAAUUAAACUAAAACUCAAACUAUAUAUGAAGUCUUGAUUAUUCACAACCUUUUGUACUUGAGUAUCUCGUUUCUUCUUCACCUUUACCUUACUUACCUUUCAAUCUCGCAUCGUAUCUUCUGUUUCUUUUGUAAACUCCCUUCAACAUAGGUGGAAAUUACGCCUUAAAGCUCUACUUUGAUACCUGAACCUCUGGUGCAUACAAAAUCUGACGACAACAUCAUACUGACUUCUCACGGCUCAACUCUAUGGCACAAUCUAGAAAUAAAAGAAUGAAAACAUUUUCUAAAUGCCCUAUAGCAUCUCAAUUAUAAAUGUGGCGCAACACCCAUAAGUGAGACUCUACUAGGCACGGCUUCGUAGACUCCCUAGGACACGAACUGCUCUGAUACCACUUUGUCAUGCCCCAACCUUGGGAGGUGUGGCUGGCACCCGGUGCCGCACUGGCCCGAGCGAACCAAUCUAAAACUUAUUCGUUCCUUUUGUAAUUGUCAUGGGCCGACAUGGCCACAACUCGUAAUCUACAAUUGUAAGUGGACAACAUUGUAUCACUGAACCAUUUUACUUAAAAUAUGAAUACAUAUGUGCCGUCAAGGCAUCUUACAUAUUGUACAAAAUGAACCUUUGUCUACAAAGCCUCUAAGAUUAUUCGACAUUAAAUAGGACAGGGUACUGGCCAACCCAUAAUUCUGUAGCAAAACUCUGACACGAUGACUCAUAGACUUGGUUGUACUUCGAAAGAGGUGGAGUCUUACCGAUUAUUCGUUAAAUGUCAAUCUCGUCUACUAUGAGGGCUCGUCAAACUGAUUAUCUAUACCUGCAGGCAUGAAUGCAGCGUCCCCACCAAAAGGACGUCAGUAUGAAUAAUGUACUGAGUAUGUAGGGCAAUAUAGUGAAAACUGAAACUGAACUAAUAAUAUAAUAACUACAAGUAGCUGGAAGUAAAAGAUAAUCUGAAGAUAUGCUUACAUGCUAAUACUGACUCAACUCUCUCAAUAUAUUAAGUAAAAUAGUUGUCCGGCCCUAUAAGGCUCGGUAUAUGUAUAACUGCUCUGCCAUAGUAGGCUCGCUCAUAGGCGCUCGGACAUACUAGGCUCUGUAUCUCAACCAACUUGGCUUGCUCAUUAGGGUUACUAUGACUUAUCCUAAUAUUAAAGUACGGGAUGUAACAUAAAUAACAUAGACAUCCUUUUCUCAAAAUAAUAAUCAAGAUUUAAAAGGAAGUAGGCCCCCUUAAUUUAAGGAGAAAAAUUGUUUAUUUUACUAAACCUUGGUUACUAACUACAUGCUAGUAUGUUUAGACAAGUAUUGAUACAAACAAUUCACAGCUGAUAAUAGCCAUGUAUUUCGAUUAAGCCAUAAUCCACUAGAGCAACUUAUUCUGAUGAUAACUUUCUUAAUCUACACUGGUUAGUAUACUCAAUCGUCAUAACUUAUCAUUUUGCCGACAAAUUAUCUUCCACUCAAUUACUACAAGAAGAAUGAAUAAACAGAAGUUGUACUAAACGUUAACAAAAUGUUCAAUAACACCAAAUAUGAAAUCAUUUGUGAAGCAAAUAUAACAUGAUUUUAAAGAUGUAAGGAGUCAAAACUACAAUUUCAGGAACACCGUCACCGUAACCCGGUGCUUAAUAGAGGUCUACUUAUUCAACCUUUCAUCAAAUAUUCAUGCUAGCAAAGAGACGAAUAAGGAAAGCAAAAGAAAUGAGGAACCAUAAAACAACAUCAUUUGAGAAGCCAAAAACCAAAUUUGAUGAUGACAUGCAUUAAGUAAAUCAUAUGCUAAGGGUGACGAGCAGAUCAUAAAAUGAUCAGAUGAUUAAAUGUAAUGACCAAUAUAAAUGCAAAAUAUUGAUUGAAGGUGAGAAAGAGAACCAGUUUGCUAAUGAGAAUAACUUACAGAGAAGUUAGAAAAUGAAAAGGAAUGUAGAAAUCAUAUCUUGGGUCUCUUUCACAUACCAUCAGUUGUAUUAAAAAUAUCUUUCUUUUGGUUUUGGCAAAUAUGUCAACCUGUCUGGGAUACAUUCUUCAUUUAGAAAAGACGAAAAUCCAAUCAAUUUAUCAAUUCACCUUACUGCCAAAUUAGAUGGUUAUUCCACUCUAUCCUCAAUUAUCAAAGCUAGUCAGCAAGUCAACUACAGUAAUACAAAUCAACACUCACCAAAUUUGACAACAAUAAAGCCGUACAUCUAGACCAUAUUCAUU
rnacentral:lncRNA from 1 species